rnacentral:rRNA from 1 species
AGUGAACGCUGGCGGUAGGCCUAACACAUGCAAGUCGAACGGCAGCACAGAGGAGCUUGCUCCUUGGGUGGCGAGUGGCGGACGGGUGAGGAAUACAUCGGAAUCUACUCUGUCGUGGGGGAUAACGUAGGGAAACUUACGCUAAUACCGCAUACGACCUACGGGUGAAAGCAGGGGAUCUUCGGACCUUGCGCGAUUGAAUGAGCCGAUGUCGGAUUAGCUAGUUGGCGGGGUAAAGGCCCACCAAGGCGACGAUCCGUAGCUGGUCUGAGAGGAUGCACAGCCACACUGGAACUGAGACACGGACCAGAGUCCCACGGGAGGCAGCAGUGGGGAAUAUUGGACAAUGGGCGCAAGCCUGAUCCAGCCAUACCGCGUGGGUGAAGAAGGCCUUCGGGUUGUAAAGCCCUUUUGUUGGGAAAGAAAUCCAUCUGGUUAAUACCCGGGUGGGAUGACGGUACCCAAAGAAUAAGCACCGGCUAACUUCGUGCCAGCAGCCGCCGUAA